rnacentral:rRNA from 1 species
UUUCAACGUGACUGACUGAGACCGGUCAACAUUGUCAACCCAUUCAAUACGACGCCAUUCGCUUGACUCUUGCUGAAUGUGGUCACUGUGGUGGGAUUCAUCCAUUGAAUGAGCCACGAAAUUGCCUUUGGCAAAACCAAAACGACAAGAGAAAAAUAAACCAAAGGU